ACAGUGCCACCAAGAAAGUGACAUGAGGCUGUGGCAAGGUGAGGAUGAAGAGGCAUUCUGUCAACCGAGCCUCCCCACCUGGAGCCCUGAGAGUUCCAAGGUUCCCCAGACUCUCCAAUUCUCAGCACUCUAACCUUCCGUGAGAAGCCACGCGGAAAGUUUUGGCUGAGAGUAAAUGUGCCUGUCCCACAGCAGGGAGUCCAGCCCAGGGCUGUAAAGGGCUUUCACUUUAAAGUCAGACAAACCAGGAUUCUGACUCCACCACCUUCAGCUUUGUGACUCUGGGCAAGUGACUUAACCUCUCUGAGGCACAAAUAAUGGCGGAGCAGUGCUUUUCGUUCCUGCUGCAUAUCAGAAUCACUUGGGGGAGAAUUUUAAGAUACACUAACACCCAGGCCCCCCGUCUCAGAGAUUCUGACAUCACUGGGCUGCAGCAUGGCUGGACAAGGGAGAUUUUCACUGGCGAUUCCCACGUGCUGUGGGGCUGGACGUCUCUGUCCCUGCUGCUGUUGGGAGGUGAGCUGAGAUACAGCGUGGAAACCACGUGACCUACAGAGGUGGUCAGCACGUUAGACCUCUUUCCACCCUACUAGCCUGUCUUUUUGGAAGCCACAUUCUUGACGCUGUCACAGCAAGCCACGAGGUCUAAAGGAGAAAUACGUCUGCAGAAGAGCCAGACCACCAGGGCCUCAAACUCGAAGAACCAUCAACUCGGCCAGAUGGGUGAACCUCAAUGUCAUCUUGCUCAUUUACUGCAACUUGGUUUCCCCAACUUGGUUCUAUGACCUCUGCAACUUCCGUGCCGACUACUGAGAACCGUCCAGUAAAUAGUCAGAGAGGACUAUUCUGCAGCCUUUGGAAAUGGUUACAGAGCUGGGAGGCAGUGUGGCAACUCUUUAUGAUAUAAAUGAAAUUAUGGGGGAUGCUGUGCUUGAAGUGUGGGCCUAUGGGCAGAAACUGGAAAGGGAUCAGGAAGAAAAGAUAAAGAAAGUAGAAUGAUUGCUGGGGCCAAGGAAUCUUAGACGGAUUUUUAAAACUCAAACUUCUAUUAUCUAUAUAAUAAUCAAUAAUAAUCAUAAGUAAAUAUAAUUUGAGAUGAGA